rnacentral:siRNA from 1 species
GGAUCUUAGGGCUCGAUUUGGUC